CGGAAUGUAGCGCAGCCUGGUAGCGCACCUCGUUCGGGACGAGGGGGUCGGAGAUUCGAAUCCUCUCAUUCCGACCA
rnacentral:tRNA from 1 species